rnacentral:rRNA from 1 species
ACUCCUACGGGAGGCAGCAGUGGGGAAUAUUGCACAAUGGGCGAAAGCCUGAUGCAGCAACGCCGCGUGAGGGAUGACGGCCUUCGGGUUGUAAACCUUUUUUAGUAAGGAAGAAGAAGUGACGGUACUUGCAGAAAAAGCACCGGCUAACUACGUGCCAGCAGCCGCGGUAAUACGUAGGGUGCAAGCGUUGUCCGGAAUUAUUGGGCGUAAAGAGCUCGUAGGCGGUUUGUCGCGUCUGCUGUGAAAACCGGAGGCUCAACCUCCGGCCUGCAGUGGGUACGGGCAGACUAGAGUGCGGUAGGGGAGAUUGGAAUUCCUGGUGUAGCGGUGGAAUGCGCAGAUAUCAGGAGGAACACCGAUGGCGAAGGCAGAUCUCUGGGCCGUAACUGACGCUGAGGAGCGAAAGCAUGGGGAGCGAACAGGAUUAGAUACCCUGGUAGUCCAUGCCGUAAACGUUGGGAACUAGAUGUAGGGGCCAUUCCACGGUUUCUGUGUCGCAGCUAACGCAUUAAGUUCCCCGCCUGGGGAGUACGGCCGCAAGGCUAAAACUCAAAGGAAUUGACGGGGGCCCGCACAAGCGGCGGAGCAUGCGGAUUAAUUCGAUGCAACGCGAAGAACCUUACCAAGGCUUGACAUGAACGAGAACGGGCCAGAAAUGGUCAACUCUUUGGACUCGUUUACAGGUGGUGCAUGGUUGUCGUCAGCUCGUGUCGUGAGAUGUUGGGUUAAGUCCCGCAACGAGCGCAACCCUCGUUCUAUGUUGCCAGCACGUUAUGGUGGGAACUCAUAGGAGACUGCCGGGGUCAACUCGGA